GGCCCCUCGGUCCAGCUGGAAGUGGACGCCUGGCUGUCGCCCAGGAGAUCACGGGUUCGAGUCCCGUAGGGGUCG
rnacentral:tRNA from 1 species